rnacentral:rRNA from 1 species
AUACGUAGGGUGCGAGCGUUGUCCGGAAUUACUGGGCGUAAAGAGCUCGUAGGGGGUUUGUCGCGUCGUCUGUGAAAUUCCGGGGCUUAACUCCGGGCGUGCAGGCGAUACGGGCAUAACUUGAGUACUGUAGGGGAGACUGGAAUUCCUGGUGUAGCGGUGCAAUGCGCAGAUAUCAGGAGGAACACCGGUGGCGAAGGCGGGUCUCUGGGCAGUAACUGACGCUGAGGAGCGAAAGCAUGGGUAGCGAACAGGAUUAGAUACCCUGGUAGUCCAUGCCGUAAACGGUGGGCGCUAGGUGUAGGGGUCUUCCACGACUUCUGUGCCGUAGCUAACGCAUUAAGCGCCCCGCCUGGGGAGUACGGCCGCAAGGCUAAAACUCAAAGGAAUUGACGGGG